rnacentral:lncRNA from 1 species
CGAGUACUAUCCCUCACACCCCACUGUCCCCACUAUCCGCGCGGCCGUCACUUCUGCGUUUCCUCGUGUACCGUCCACAUUCACUUUUCGCGGCGAACGAAGCAAACGCGAGUGUUUUGGUAAUUUGCCGUGUCACAAGUUCUAAUCACGUGCAAAUUUUCACGCGGCCAGUGUGUAUACAGAUAUUUGUCACAAACAACAAUAAUCUUGUGAGUGCAACAAUGGAUGAGUUACGUCGCACGGCUGAACCGAAAAAAGGUUAAAUUUGACGCACCGACGAACGAAUCGUUCGUUGCAAUGUGAGAUGGCGCCGACACAUGGCUGUAAGAGAACAGAAGAGGACCCAUGUAUUUGAUAAUCCGUCGUAACCGUUGGACGGACGCAAUGUCACAUGCCGCGAGGAGAUCUUCGUGGAGUGGUGAACUAUGUUCGAAUUACAUUACUUCGCAAAGGAUGUUAGAAACUCCCAUCAACCGGGAGAAGGAACUGUUUCGUACAACCCGCAGCUUCAUAGUUACCUCGAAUCUCAGAUACUAUUUCCUUGCAUUUAAUAUCUCAGAGGGUAUAAAAAUAAUCCUCAACGUCGAUGUCAACAAUU